AUACUUACCUGGCAGGGGAGAUGCCAUGAUCACGAAGGUGGUUUUCCCAGGGCGAGGCUUGGCCAAUGCACUCCGGAUGAGCUGACCCCUGCGAUUUCCCCAAAUGUGGGAAACCUGACUGCACAAUUUGUGGUAGUUGCGGGCAGGGGGAAAGAUAGUCGCUA